rnacentral:lncRNA from 1 species
ACUUCUUGGAUUUCUCUCCAGCAAAGGGCCCACACUGUGCUGUUCCUCUUAAGGCUGCUUUCUGAAGGGCUGUGCGUGGAAGUAUGUGUGAGGUGGUGAUUCGGGAGGAACACAGGGCUUAGUGGCCUUGGAAGAAUGCAAAACCCUCGGUAAACAGAAAUAUGUUAAUGAGGGAAAAUUGCAUGAGAUAUAAACACCCACAGCACGGAUCUCAGAGAUGAAGAUGAACACCGGAGCAGAGGGAACUUUGGAAUGACUGACUGCCUUCUUUCUCAUCCACUAUAAAGUGUCAAAGACAAAGUGGAUAUUUUAGGAUAUUGAUCCUGCAUCUUCCCAGACUGCUGCCUCUGAAUGAAACACAACUUAGAGAUUCGAUUCUUGCCACUGAUAUUUGUGGUGAUGGGCAUUGUGAACUCUGGUACUUUUGUUACAGAGGGAUGGAGGAUGAUGAGGGAUGGAUUGAUAAUUGGGGCAUGGGUGAAUGGAUGGACAUGGGAAUGGUGAAUGAAUAUAUAGACGGCAGAGAAUGGGUAGGGGAUGGGGGUUAUGGAGGUAUGGACGGGGAUGGAUGGGAGGACCUACAUUCAUAUGGAUGGGUGACCACUCAAAGCAGAAAGCACACAGAUGCGGACAGGAACCCUUUGUGCAUCUUAGCAGUUGUGUAAACAGAUGAAUGGUGGGUAUGUACAAUGGUGGGUUUGCACUGACAUCUUCAAGGUGGAAGUUCUUUGUGUAGGUUUUCUAAUUUUACUCUCAUGACUGUGUGUGUGUGGGAGGGGACUCUUUAUAACACUAUCUUUAUGGAAACCAAGACUCAGAGAGGCCAUAUUAGGCUUUGCUACAAGGACUUCUAUUGGGUUAUGGAUAAUCACCGCAUCUUGAUAGUGGAAUAGUCUUGAUUCCUUUGGCAUAACAAACAGUUCAUGGAAAAACUCCAGUUUUCUCCAGAGUGUCAAGAUUGAUCAUUUUCUGUGUAUGCCUUGAUGUGGGAAAGGUACAGGUAGUUGACUGAUUUGCAGUUCCCACUGAUCAGUGAUGGAGGGAAGAUUCACACCUGGACUGGUAUCAGGGAAAGUCCCAGCUCCCAGGUCUCAGUUUUUGAAAGCAGGUAGCAGCCAACCACGACCAUCCUGAGCUUUCCCACAGUUGGUAGGGAAGCUGCCGUUCAUGCAACGUGUAGGUGUGGACAUUGGUGCGUCCCUCAUGCUCCACCCCAGACCUCUGACUCUCUGAGCUGUACCCAGGUUGUGUUGUCUCUGACUAUGCAGAGCAGAGACACUGAGUUGGUAUAGUCAGGCCUGUUCAGCCUGCAUCCUGUGGGUGUGUACAUAGGUGGCUACAGGAAGGGAAGGAUAACUUACUUAAAACAUUAUCAGAUUUCGCAAUAUUUUUUUGUAACUUGAUUGCCUUGUUCUUGAAUGUGAACUUUGUAGAUAACAAUAUUGUGUCACGAUGUCAAAAGGUUGGACAUGCCUUUUGUCCAUGCAUGCAAUGGGCCCUGUCCAGUAGAAGAACAGGAUGCUGAAAGGUCUGUGGAAACGUGUCCUUCUAGAAGUAUGGGGCAGUUUACAGGGCUUUGAACCUCUUGUUCAGCAGCCCCUUGUAGACUUUGUAAUUAAAUCCUUAGCCACCCUACAGUCUCUGCUUAAGUGACACUAUUUUAUCACGGUAAGAUGGGCUGGCAGCUUUCUUCUCAGCCAUGGUUACAGCAGCAUCCCUCGGGGGUUAUCCCACCUCUGAGGAUUAUGCUCAGCCUCAGCAUCACUCAGUGGGAGUGGUUUGAGGCAGUGCAAGAACACACAUGGGUUGACUCUGCUUCCAGAGAUCUAGUGCCUGUCAUGAUGUUUCUUCUUUGGCAUGGUGGCACUGAGGUUGGGGUUACCCCACUAGUGAAACCUCAGAUUUCCCCAUCUAGAUACCCCACUGCUUCCUUUCAUCCCACCGCAACAAAGACAAUACUUUCAUCUCUUCUGUGUAACAGAGCGUGAGGGGCAUCCUUGCCACCUUUGCCUCAAACCACUUAGUUUUUUUGGAUAAUGGAAGACCAUAGAAGAAUUAAGGAUCUCUUCCAUAUUUCUUCUCACCAGCAGGAAAUCUGGUAGACCAGUAUGGAUAACUCAGCUGGGUGUCUGCUUCUGGGGGAUCGCCUUUUUUCAGAUCCAGAAUCUGUCUGUCUGUCUAUCUACUUAUAUUAUGAAUGCUAACUAUGUUCCUCCCAAAACUGCCUGCACGAGUGUCUGCAUGUAGCUUCUAGGAACCUGCCUCAUUUGGUUUUGAUUGGUAAAUAAAGAUGCCAACAACCAAUAGCUGUGAGGACAGACAGAGGCUGGACUUUAGGAUUCUUGGGCUUGGGACCAUGAGGAAGAAGGAGAGAUCUGCCAUGCUGGAAGGAUGUGUAGGAGAGGAGAGAUGCCAUGCCUGAGAAUAAAGCAGGACAGAGAGGCAUAGAAUCUAGAGCAGCCAAGAUAGAACAUAGAACUUGGUAAGUAAUAACUUGGAAUUAUCAGUGCGGGGUAGAUUCUACCAGCAGUAGAUGUUAGGUGGUGGCCUAGCUAUUGUGCCGUUUAAGGAAUAUUAAAAUAUAAAGACUGAAAAAAAAAAAAAAAAAA